ACUGCUUCUUGGCCUUUUGGCUAAGAUCAAGCGUAGAAUAUGUUCGUAUCAGUUUAAUGUCUGAUACGUUCUCUAUCCGAGGACAUUAUAUUACAUGGAUUUUUGGAGCUGGGAGAUGGAAUAGGAGCUUGCUCCAUCCGCUUUGAGCAUUGACCUGGUAUUGCAGUACUUCUGGGAACAAUGCACCAGGA